UACGUAGGGGGCAAGCGUUGUCCGGAUUUACUGGGCGUAAAGCGCGCGUAGGCGGAACGAUCAGUCCGGUCUGAAAGCCCCCGGCUCAACCGGGGAGGGUGGCUGGAAACUGUCGUUCUUGAGGGCGAGAGAGGAGGGUGGAAUUCCCAGUGUAGAGGUGAAAUUCGUAGAUAUUGGGAAGAACACCGGUGGCGAAGGCGGCUCACUGGCUCGUAACUGACGCUCAUGCACGACAGCGUGGGGAUCAAACAGG
rnacentral:rRNA from 1 species